rnacentral:rRNA from 1 species
UACAGAGGGUGCGAGCGUUAAUCGGAUUUACUGGGCGUAAAGGGCGCGUAGGCGGUGAUAUGGGUGUGAUGUGAAAGCCCCGGGCUUAACCUGGGAAGCGCAUCGCAAACGAUAUGACUGGAGUAGAAGAGAGGGUGGCGGAAUUUCCGGUGUAGCGGUGAAAUGCGUAGAGAUCGGAAGGAACGUCGAUGGCGAAGGCAGCCACCUGGCUUCAUACUGACGCUGAGGCGCGAAAGCGUGGGGAGCGAACAGG